rnacentral:lncRNA from 1 species
UUAUUUUUGACCAAAAAAAUAAAAUCAUCUUUCUCUCAGUACAUUCUCGAAAGAUAAAUCUAAUAAAAAAUUAUUUUUCUUAAGAGCUAGCUAGUUAAUAAUUUUAUCUGAACUUAAAUAUUACAGUCGAUUUCGAUGUCACGUAUAUGUUUCAUUCAUAUAUACUACUUUUUACAUAAAUACGACUACAUAAUAUUUGAUUCAUAUACUUCCCUCCAUUAUAAUUUAAAAAAUAAAAAAUUAUAAAAAAAGCUUAAUAUCUUUUUAAUUAAAAACAGUUAGAAAAUUAAUUUUUCCACACU